rnacentral:rRNA from 1 species
UUAAAUUAGUAAGGGCGCAUGGCGGAUGCCUUGGCACUAGAAGCUGAAGAAGGACGUGACGAACGACGAUACGCUUCGGGGAGCUGUACGUAAGCUUUGAUCCGGAGAUUUCCGAAUGGGGGAACCCAGCAGUAGUAACUUACUGUUAUCCUAACGUGAAUACAUAGCGUUAGAGAGAGUAACCUGGCGAACUGAAACAUCUUAGUAACCAGAGGAAAAGAAAGAAAAAUCGAUUCCCUUAGUAGUGGCGAGCGAAAAGGGAGGAGCCCAAACCAAUCCUUCGGGAUUGGGGUUGUAGGACUUCCGUAUAGGAGUAAGAAAAUCGAUGUAUAGCUGAAUCUGAUGGAAAUCAGAACCAUAGUAGGUGAAAGUCCUGUAAGCGAAAUAUAACGAUCUCCUGGAAGUAUCCUGAGUAGGACGGGACACGUGGAACCCUGUCUGAAUCAACGGAGACCAUUCCGUAAGGCUAAAUACUCUCUAGUGACCGAUAGUGAACAAGUACCGAGAGGGAAAGGUGAAAAGAACCCCGGGAGGGGAGUGAAAUAGAAAACUGAAACCAUGUGCUUACAAAAAGUCAAAGCCCAUUAAAGGGUGAUGGCGUGCCUUUUGCAGAAUGAACCGGCGAGUUAAUGUUGCAUGCGAGGUUAAGUUGAAGAGACGGAGCCAAAGCGAAAGCGAGUCUGAAUAGGGCGAAUGAGUAUGCAGUAUUAGACCCGAAACCGAGUGAUCUAGCCAUGAGCAGGUUGAAGUUUUGGUAACACAAAAUGGAGGACCGAACCGACGUACCCGGAAACGUGCGCGGAUGACUUGUGGCUAGCGGUGAAAUUCCAAACGAACUCGGAUAUAGCUGGUUCUCCCCGAAAUAGGUUUAGGCCUAGCCUUGAGGUUAAGUACCGUGGAGGUAGAGCACUGAAUAUAUGAUGGCCCCAUCUAGGGGUACUGAAUGUAAUCAAACUCCGAAUGCCAUGGCUACAUACUCAGGAGUCAGCGUGUGGGUGAUAACGUCCAUACGCGAAAGGAAAAGAGUCCAAGAUCGCCGAUUAAGGUCCCAAAAUUUGUGCUAAGUGGGAAAGGAUGUGGAGUUGUCAAAACAGCUAGGAGGUUGGCUUAGAAGCAGCCAUCCUUUAAAGAGUGCGUAAUAGCUCACUAGUCGAGUGACACUGCGCCGAAGAUGUACCGGGGCUAAGCACAAUACCGAAAUCGCGGAUUCAUACGUAAGUAUGAGUGGUAGGGGAGCGUUCCAAGGGCGUCGAAGGUUGACCGUGAGGACAGCUGGAGCGCUUGGAAGUGAGAAUGCCGGUGUGAGUAGCGCAAGAUGGGUGAGAAUCCCAUCCACCGAUUGACUAAGGGUUCCUGGGGCAGGUUCGUCCUCCCAGGGUUAGUCGGGUCCUAAGACGAGGCCGAAAGGCGUAGCCGAUGGACAACAGGUUGAUAUUCCUGUACUAUCUAUAUGACUGAUGGAGUGACGGAGAAGGCUAGGGAGAGCCAGUUAAUGGAUUCUGGUCUAAGCACAAAGGUUUAUAAUUAGGGAAAUCCGGUUAUAGAUAAGCUGAAGUGUGAUGGUGAAGCUACUAAGUAGCGAAAUCUCUUGACGCCAAGCUUCCAAGAAAAGCUUCUAGGGCUAAUCAUAUAGGUACCCGUACCCAGAACCGACACAGGUGGUCAAGGAGAGUAUCCUAAGGUGAGCGAGAGAACCAUGGUUAAGGAACUCGGCAAAAUAACCCCGUAACUUCGGAAUAAGGGGUGGUCGCUAGACGACCGACACUAAAGACGCCCAGGCAACUGUUUACCAAAAACAUAGGUCUCUGCUAAGUCGAAAGACGAUGUAUAGGGGCUGACACCUGCCCAGUGCUGGAAGGUUAAGAGGAGUGCUUAGAAUAGACGUAAGUCGAUGAUUCGAAGGUACGAAUUGAAGCCCCAGUGAACGGCGGCCGUAACUAUAACGGUCCUAAGGUAGCGAAAUUCCUUGUCAGGUAAGUUCUGACCCGCACGAAAGGUGUAAUGAUCUGGGCACUGUCUCAACCAUGGACUCGGUGAAAUCUUAAUACCUGUGAAAAUGCAGGUUACCCGCAUCAGGACGAGAAGACCCCAUGGAGCUUUACUGUAGCUUGAUAUUGAGAUUCGGUAUGUUAUGUAGAGAAUAGGUGGGAGACUAUGAGACUAGGACGCCAGUUCUAGAGGAGUCACCUUUGGAAUACCACCCUUAAUGUAUUGGAUUUCUAACCUCGACCCAUGAUCUGGGCCAGGGACAGUGUCUGGUGGGCAGUUUGACUGGGGCGGUCGCCUCCCAAAAAGUAACGGAGGCGCCCAAAGGUUCCCUCAGAAUGGAUGGAAAUCAUUCGCAGAGCGUAAAGGUAUAAGGGAGCUUAACUGCAAGACCAACAAGUCGAGCAGAUACGAAAGUAGGGCUUAGUGAUCAGACGGUGCAGAAUGGAAUGGCCGUCGCUUAACGGAUAAAAGUUACCCUGGGGAUAACAGGCUGAUACCACCCAAUAGUUCACAUAGACGGUGGUGUUUGGCACCUCGAUGUCGGCUCGUCACAUCCUGGAGGUGAAGUCGCUUCCAAGGGUUGGGCUGUUCGCCCAUUAAAGUGGCACGCGAGCUGGGUUCAGAACGUCGUGAGACAGUUCGGUCUCUAUCCGAUGUGGGCGUAGGAAAAUUGAAGAGAGCUAUCCUUAGUACGAGAGGACCGGGAUGGACAAACCUCUGGUGUAUCUGUUGUCACGCCAGUGGCAGCGCAGAGUAGCUAUGUUUGGAAAGGAUAACCGCUGAAAGCAUCUAAGCGGGAAGCCAACUUUGAGAUGAGUUUUCCCAUACGAAAGUAGUAAGAUCCCAAAAAGACGAUUUGGUUGAUAGGCUGGAGAUGGAAGAAUGGUGACAUUUUGAGUUGACCAGUACUAAUAGAUCGAGGAUUUAAUCAU